UACGUAGGGUGCGAGCGUUAAUCGGAAUUACUGGGCGUAAAGUGUGCGCAGGCGGCAGAGCAAGUCGAGUGUGAAAGCCCCGGGCUUAACUUGGGAAUUGCGCUCGAAACUACUUUGCUGGAGUGUGGCAGAGGAAGGUGGAAUUCCACGUGUAGCGGUGAAAUGCGUAGAGAUGUGGAGGAACACCAAUGGCGAAGGCAGCCUUCUGGGCCAACACUGACGCUCAUGCACGAAAGCGUGGGGAGCAAAAGGG
rnacentral:rRNA from 1 species